GGCCCCGGCCAUAGGCGACGGGACCCACCCGGACUCGUCAGAUCCCGGAAGUUAAACCGUCGCACGCCGAGGGGAGUACUGGAGUCCGCGAGGCUCCGGGAAACCCCGGUGCUGGGAAGC
rnacentral:rRNA from 2 species